UAUUUUUAUCUGUUAGCAAGAGAAGAGGGUCUCUCCCUGCAAACUGGGUUUAUCACUCAUUUCUGUUUACUGAGAAGGUGGAGGACACAGCUGCCUAAUUGACAUAAUAACACCCAUUUACAUCAAUUAUAAAUUAUGUAGUUUAUAGCUGUAGAUACUCUCAUUGCAUGUAAACAUUAAAGCCUAGGUAAUUAACUAUGCAAGGUAUGCAAAAGGCUAAAUCGAAGCUUUGCAAUUAUUUGAAAAAAGUUGAUGCCUAUUAAGUUGCUUGAUUCUGAGCAUCUGCCGAAGUGUUAAUGCAUUCAAAUACUUCAGCAUGGUACUGCCAAGAAAGACCCUUUUCUGAAAUUAAAGUAGGGUAAUGCAUUUAAACUGCAAAUGUAAUUUUUUCACAAGCGGUUUCUUUCUUUUUCUCUCCCUAACGUGAUAAAAAGAGUUCUAAAGCAGGCUUCAGCAUAGCUAUGCCUCUGAACUAAAGAGAAGAACUAAAGCUUUCCAGAUGAGAAAUGGCAUUUUGAGUACUGAAAGCAGUACCUUGAUUCAAAACAGAGAGGGAGAUCCAGGUCUCCCAGUUGUAGAUCAGUGGCUCACAGAAGGACUCUGGCCAGUCACAUUGGGAAGUUGUGUUCUGGGGUUGGAUGAGCCUUCAGGGCCCAGUGGUUUCACUUCACUUCCUAGUGCACAGACACUGGUCAGAUGAAUGAUGAAAUUAGCCUGGUGGAGGAGAGAGGAAAGUAUUCAUAGGUGUGUGUAGCAGGGAGCAGCCUAGCUUCAAAGCAUCUGAAAAUCCCCGUAGGUAGUGCUAUCAGAAUAGACAGAAGCUCUAUAAAGGCAUAAAGGGUGAAUAUCCCUUUUGUUUGAGAUGCUGACAGCAAUCCCCCAGUAAAGCUGAGCAUAGCUCUGUGUGUUUCGGUUGCUCCUGUCCUGACCUGGUGGUCUGCUCUAAAAUGAAGCUGUUAUGAGAUGGGGUAGUAAAGCAGUGUGGGAUCAGUGCACCUGGUGAGCAUUUACGUAAAGGAUUCCACUUUCCAGUAUGGCAUAUACUGAGAGCCUGUGGUUCAAUCUGAAUGUCUCUCAUGGCACAAAUUUAAAAUUGAGUUUGAUUCAGCUACUUCUUAUUAAAGCAUUGUUGUUAACCAAAUACAGUGUGGCUCUAGUAAGUUGGUUUCAUCUGGAGUUACAGCUCUUUUGAUGCAGAUUUAUCUGUAGUUGAUGGAGAAGGCUUUUGAUGAUGGGAAGAUAUCCAAUAACAAGAGUAACGUGACAUUCUAAGCAAUUCAUGUAACUUAGGAACACAAGUAAAAUUGUUUCACAUCUGAGUUAGCAUCCAGCAAAAGAUAAUAGAGAAGAAAAGUUGCCAAGCAUCGAGAUCAUGAAGUCAUAGAUUCAUAAAGGUUAGAGAAGACUUCUGAGAUCAUCUAGUGGAACCAUCAGCCCAUCCCCACAGUGCCCACUACACCAUGUCCCUAAGUGCCACGUCCGCCCUUUUCUUGAAAACUUUCAGGGGACGGUGACUGCUCCACCUCCCCGGGCAGCCUUUUCCAUUACCUCAUCACUCUUUCUGAGAAGAAAUUUUUCCUAUGAUGGUCAAGACAAAAUUUAUUUUUUAGUUGGAGACAAGAGGUGAAAUUGGUAAGGGAAAAACAAAAGCACCCCAGAAGUGCAGGAAUAAGAAAAAUAAAAGCACAGAACGCACUAAAAUCACCUGGUGAAAAAUGGGAUAAACGGUUUCCGACACUGACCAUGUCAUCCUCUUGCUGCUCCUUGAAACUGUCAAAUGUCUCAGGAUCAUUGAUACACGUGUUAAGAGGAAAAUGCUGCAUCUUACUUCGUAGUAUUCCGUAGUAUUCAAGUUACACUUUUGUUAAAUUUUAUAAUGGUGUUAAACAUAAUAUGAUAUGUAAGAAAUGAUUUCAAUUCUUCUGGCACUUAAGUCGUAAAGGGCUGGAUACUGUCCCAUAAAAUAAUAAUAUAGAAAAAAAACUGUACCAUAAGAGAAUUAAAUUCAUGCUUCAGUGGAAAGGAGAAAGGGAUGUUUUUUUAGUAAAUGUAUAGAAGGAACAAAGGUUCAAAUUUUCAUUGCUUGUGCAGCAGGAAUUCCCCAUCUCCACUGGCAGCUGUGUGGAGAAAGCCAUGAGCCAACCCUGCUCGCACUUAGAGUACCUACAGCUUUCUGGCCGUGGCAUAUGAGAAGGAGCCUGUCCUCCUCCCUCUCCCCCUGUACUGACCUGCAGCACAGAGAAAUGGGAAUUUGUGUCCCUGUUCCUGGGUAAGGCAGCCAGGUGGGGUUCUUGUCUAUUUAUCACCUUGUCAUCUCUUUCUCCUGUUUUAAGCACUCUGAUUCCCCGUCCUCUUUUUGGCCUGCUGAAACAAGAGCCUUUUUUUGGAUUCCUCAUGCUAUGGAGAGCAAGCAGGAAUUGCUAAAAAGCCCUUCUGAGAGGCAUUGUUGUUAUUGUGGCCACGUUCAUUGGGUCUAGGGAAUGACAUGUCCCAGUUUACUUCCAAAUUCAAAACACAGGUCACUGCUGAAUCCCGGAGAUUUCCUGCAAAGAAAGCACAGCUUGAAAAAUCGUUUCGUAUAGACAAAAGGACAGGAACCCCAAAAGAGCUAAUGCGGAGUGUGUAACUGUAACACGAGCAAUAAGCAUUAACAUCGUUAUUUGGGUUAAGGUAAAUAAAUAUAUUUGUCCUGGAGGCGGCUGGGCAGUACCAUGUAAUUCUUAGGAAGAUACAGAUGUAGUUGUUUCCAAUUGUCAUGUGUGUAGGCACACUGCUGUGCAUGUGAGUUAGCGACCCGCCCCCCCCCC